AUGUCCGGCAAGGACAAGCAGCAGGAGCAAACUAUCACCAAGGACCUGGUCAUGACCAAGUAUAAGAUGGGGGAACGACAUAGCCAACCAGGUACUUCAGUCCUUGGUAGAAGCAUCUAGCUCAGGCGUAUCGGCACUGAGCCUGUGUGAGAAAGAUGAUGCCAUGAUUAUGGAAGAAAUAGGGAAAAUCUUCAAGAAAAAAAUAGAAAUGAAAAAAGGUAUUGCUUUUCCCACCAGCAUUUCAGUAAAUAACUGUGUAUGUCACUUCUCCCCUUUGAAGAGCAACCAGGAUUAUAUUCUCAAGGAAGGUGACUUGGUAAAACUUGACCUCGGGGUCCAUGUUGAUGGCUUCAUCGCUAAUGUAGCUCAUAGUUUUGUAGCUGAUGUAGCUCAGGGACCCAAGUAACAGGGAGGAAAGCAGAUGUUAUUAAGGCAAUUCACUUUUGUGAUGAAGCUGUCCUAUGCCUGGUCAAACCUGGAAACCAGAACACACAAGUGACAGAAACCCUGAACAAAGCUGCCCACUCACUUACCUGCAUGCCAAUAGAAGGCAUGCUGUCACAUCAGUUGAAGGAGCAUGUCGUCGAUGGAGAAAAAACCAUUAUCCAGAAUCCCACAGACCAGCAGAAGAAGGACCAUGAAAAAGCAGAAUUGGCAGUACAUGAAGUAUAUGCUGUGGAUGUUCUCAUCAGCUCAGAAGAGGGCAAGACCAAGGAUGCAGGACAGAGAACCACUAUUUACAAAUGAGACCCCUCUAAACAGCACGGACUGAAAAUGAAAACUUCACGUGCCUUCUUCAGUGAGGUGGAAAGGCGUUUUGAUGCUAUGCCAUUUACUUUAAGAACAUUUGAAGAUGAGAAGAAGGCUCAGAUGGGUGUGGCACAGUGCACCAAGCAUGAACUGCUGCAACUAUUUAAUGUUCUCUAUAAGAAGGAAGGCGAAUUUCUUGCCCAGUUUAAAUCUACAGUUCUGCUCAUGCCCAUUGGCCUUAUGCAGAUAACCAGUGGUCCCUUUGAGCCUGACCUCUACAAGUCUGAGAUGGAGGUCCAGGAUGCAGAGCUAAAGGCUCUCCUCCAGAGUUCUGCAAGUCAAAAAACCCAGAAAAAGAAAAAGAAAAAAAAAAAGGCCUACAAGAUUGCAGAGAAAGCCACCAGUGGGGAAACAUUAGAAGAAAAUGAAGCUGGGGACUAG